rnacentral:misc_RNA from 1 species
CUCGUUGUUUUACAAUAGGCUGAGGAUUACUAGGCUCUGGGAUGUCAAUAGCUGAAACUAGCCACCGCCCUUUGUUGAUAUAAAGUUGUCCAUUGAAGUAUUGGAUCAUAUGGUAAUAUGCAUAAGUUUCUUCGAGAGUAGGAAUUUUGGUCCAACAGAGGUCUCCAGGUCGCCAAAGAGCCAAACGGUAUGUAGGCCGUCCAUGUUGUAUUAUCUGCUAGCCCAUCCGUAACAACUGACUAUGUUCUGAUAAUUUGCUAUGGA